rnacentral:rRNA from 1 species
GACGAACGCUGGCGGCGUGCUUAACACAUGCAAGUCGAACGGAAAGGCCCUGCUUUUGUGGGGUGCUCGAGUGGCGAACGGGUGAGUAACACGUGAGUAACCUGCCCUUGACUUUGGGAUAACUUCAGGAAACUGGGGCUAAUACCGGAUAGGAGCUCCUGCUGCAUGGUGGGGGUUGGAAAGUUUCGGCGGUGGGGGAUGGACUCGCGGCUUAUCAGCUUGUUGGUGGGGUAGUGGCUUACCAAGGCUUUGACGGGUAGCCGGCCUGAGAGGGUGACCGGCCACAUUGGGACUCAGAUACGGCCCAGACUCCUACGGGAGGCAGCAGUGGGGAAUAUUGCACAAUGGGCGGAAGCCUGAUGCAGCAACGCCGCGUGCGGGAUGACGGCCUUCGGGUUGUAAACCGCUUUCGCCUGUGACGAAGCGUGAGUGACGGUAAUGGGUAAAGAAGCACCGGCUAACUACGUG